rnacentral:rRNA from 1 species
CUCGUAGGCGGUUUGUCGCGUCUGCUGUGAAAUCCGGAGGCUCAACCUCCGGCCUGCAGUGGGUACGGGCAGACUAGAGUGCGGUAGGGGAGAUUGGAAUUCCUGGUGUAGCGGUGGAAUGCGCAGAUAUCAGGAGGAACACCAAUGGCGAAGGCAGAUCUCUGGGCCGUAAUUGACGCUGAGGAGCGAAAGCAGUGGGGAGCAAACA